AAAAGAGCCUGGAAAUCCCGCACCAUCACCGAAGUGGGUCUUAGAGGAAUAGACGGCGCGGAUGGGAUCGCGGACCCAGCGGCAGAUUGCUGUUGAGGAUUGAGUUCUGCUGAGGGUGCCGUGAGUGAAGCUCCACACUGGACGACAGGAGCAUUCGACCGGGUCAUCAUCCAUCAACACUUCUCUGGUAAGAUACUGGUUUGCUGUAUUCAGCCCAUCACAGGAUUAAAGCAUCUCUGGCUGCGAGCAGCAGCACUUGAAGUAGACCAUGAUCUCCUGGAGAGAGUGAAUGAGUGUGUUAGA